UGGGGAAUAUUGGGGCAAUGGGCGCAAGCCUGACCCAGCAACGCCGCGUGAAGGAAGAAGGCUUUCGGGUUGUAAACUUCUUUUGCCGGGGACGAGUAGAAGACGGUACCUGGCGAAUAAGCCACGGCUAACUACGUGCCAGCAGCCGCGGUAAUACGUAGGUGGCGAGCGUUAUCCGGAUUUACUGGGUGUAAAGGGCGCGUAGGCGGGAAUGCAAGUCAGAUGUGAAAUCCAAGGGCUCAACCCUUGAACUGCAUUUGAAACUGUAUUUCUUGAGUGUCGGAGAGGUUGACGGAAUUCCUAGUGUAGCGGUGAAAUGCGUAGAUAUUAGGAGGAACACCAGUGGCGAAGGCGGUCAACUGGACGAUAACUGACGCUGAGGCGCGAAAGCGUGGGGAGCAAACAGGAUUAGAUACCCUGGUA
rnacentral:rRNA from 1 species